GCCGGAGUGGCGGAAUGGCAGACGCGCUGGACUCAAAAUCCAGUAUUCGCAAGAAUGUGUGGGUUCAAGUCCCACCUCCGGUA
rnacentral:tRNA from 1 species